GCAAAUUCUCGCCUUACAGCAGCCGCUCGCGGGGCCCCUGUAAGUUCAUAAAUACCUAUUAUUUAAACAAGUCAAAUAAAAACGCUCACUAGACCUGGAGCGCGCUUUUCACAAGCUCCUUCAGCCAAGGACAGUGACGUCCUGAGGACCAACGGAGGGCCUUUAAACUUAAUGGAAUUUGGUAACAUGUCACCGUGGCCAUCGGGCCCUUGAAAGGCCGCGAUUGGAAAUCCGUGGGAGCUCUUUAUUACCAGGAAACUUUUCACGAGGUUUUAAACAAGCCAUGUUCACUAGUGUCCAUACGGUCAAGUCGGUGUUAAAGAUCCAGCUAAAAAGAAGCGAUUCAAUUCCUAUUUCUAUGUUUGACGACAGUUUCAUCUCUGUUCUCCGUUUAAUCAGAAGUUAUUUAAAAAAAAACAGCACCUCAACCCAGACUUGACUCAUCGUAAAUACAGAAGAACAUCAAUAAAAUGAGAAAAGCUAGUGGCUGUUGGUGUGUUUCUGGUGGCCCAUCGACAGUUGUUUGUCUCUUUGCCUCCCUCAUUAUCAGAUGCAUGUGCUGAAGAAAGAAAAUAAUGACUGUUCCAUUAAAUAAAUGACAGCGAUUGGGUGA